CAUGCUGUUGUUCUUGAGUUGUUAUCGAAUGCUGAAAUUAGAAGAUGUGCUAGAUACAUUUGGGCUAACUAAAGUCAAGAGUGGAAGGAAGAAGAGAGAAAAAAACAAUUUUGAAAAUACUCAAAGGCAAAUUUUGAAGUGAAGUUCAAAGAAGAACUUGAUUAUAUGAACCAACUUGGUAGGCAAGGUAAUGAUAUCAUUGGUGAUUUACUGCAUUAUCCUAAGGAGUCAUGGGUUAGGGCAUUCUUUAAAGAGCAUUGUAAGUGCGAUGCUGUUGAGAAUAACAUGUAUGAGGCCUUUAAUUCAUGGAUCUUAGUCCCUAGACAUAAAUCUAUCAUUACUAUGUUGGAGGAAAUUAGGAGAAAAAUCAUGACUAGAACUGUGGAUAUGAUUAAGUUUGCCAAUACUUGGAUAUGUGAUAUUGCACCUAAGGCUAGACUUAUUUUGGAGAGGAAUAAGGACAGGGCAAGGGUUUGCAAAAUGCUUUGAAAUGCUGAUGUUGGAUUUGAGGUUGGAGAAGAGGAGUAUAGGCAUACUUUGGACUUGACUAAUAGGUCAUAUAGUUGUAGAACUUGGCAGUUGAGAGGCAUUCCUUGCCAACAUGCCAUUUGUGCUUUGUAUUAUGUUGAAAAAGAGCCUGAACCUUAUGUGGAACAUUAGUAUAAGAAGGAAACCUUCAUGAAGGCUUAUAAUCACUUUAUCCAAUCAAUCUCCAAUAUGAAGAUGUGGCCUGAGACAAACAAUCCAAAGAUUGAACCCCCUAAACCUAAAAACAUACCUGCCAGGCCUGCAAAAAUUAGAAAGAAAGGCAAAGGAGAACCAGUAAAGAAAUUUGAAAAGAUGUCCAAAAAAGGUGGGACAAUAACAUGCUCCUUGUGUCAUCAACAAGGUCAUAACAGAAGAUUUUGCAAGAUUCCUAAUCCCAAUGCACAAGCACAUAGCCAAGGAUUUCAGUUUAGUGGUCAAAGUUCACAAGAAAGUUUCCAGCCUAAAUGCUCAAUCCAACUUGCACCUUCGAACUCCAAAAAAUCAACAUCAUGUAGCUCAAGUCAACCUGAAUCUUCAACUAUAAUUUGUGGUGAUACAAACAGAGUUAGAAGCUUGAAAGAAGCUACAAAAUCUACCUUUUGUGGUGAUACAAGAAUUCUUGUUACUGAAGGAAUCAAGAGUCAACUACCUCUUAGAAGUAGAGUAACUAUUGAGUAGAAGAGGAGAAGAGUUGGAACCACAAAGAAUGUUGACGAAGGUGGAUAAAAAAGGUCAAAGAAUGCUGAAUUUAGAAUCUACACUAGUGCAAGGGAAAUCCAAGUACUGAAUCCUGGGACAUCAAGUCAAAGGAUCCUACAAAGUGGUAUAACUUACAAGGAUGCAAGUUCUACAGGGGUUGAUGUUGGUUAUAAGCCUAGAGGCUCGAAAUGAAAAAACAAAUAUAUUGUCACCACUUAUCAAUUGCAGCAGAUGGCCAACAAAAAGAAGAAGAAGUAGUCAAGAAGAAGCAUUUUAGUCUGAUGGUGUAUUGUGAUUCUAUUGUGUAAUGUGCAGUACCAAAGAAUCAAUUUAGUGUUUGAAGUAAACAUUCUGGUUCUUUAAUUUUUGAA